GCCAAUCUCUCGUUUUCCCACUGCUAACCCUAGCCGCCGCCUGUUGCUUCCCUCGAUGCGCGCCGUGCGCCCCUGAACGAAGACCGGCGCCCGAGCGGUAGCCCUGGCCGGUGAAGAACGGCGCCCCAGCGGCGGCCCUGGCAGGUGAAGACGGGCACUGCAAGCGGCGGCCCUGACGGUGAAGACUGUCGCCCCGCGCCGCCGCCAACCUCAACCUCCCGUCGGUCGCUCUACCGCCUCGCGGCCGUCCGCCGCCGGUGCUCCACCUCCCGACGACCAGUUCAACCACUGCAGUUCGUCAUGACUCACCACUACCCGUCCUCUUCCAGGUCACUCGCAGCUGAAGAUGUUUUCUGAACAUGAUGAGGAUCUGAAUGAGAAUGAAGAUGCACUUAUGAGUGUAGAGGCAGAGGCAGAUGCAGAAGCAGGAGAUGAAUCUGUUUUGCAUAGUAUUAUUGAAGAUGAAGAUGCCGAACCAACACUGGGUUUGCUGCUUGUGUAUUCCAUGGUUUGAAGAUAAAGAUGCAGAAGCAGGAGAUGAAUCUGUUUUGCAUAGUAUUAUUGAAGAUGAAGAUGCCGAACCAACACUGGGUUUGCUGCUUGUGUAUUCCAUGGACUGAUGUUGCUUAUUAUCUUCUUUCUUUCUUUGCAUUGAAAUCUUAUUGCUGGACCAUGAAUCAUGAGUCUUCUUAAUUUGUGUCAUAUACUUGCUCUCAAAUGUAAACAUGUACUUGUACUUUGUUA